CGACUCCCCUAUCUGCUCCCCAAAUCCUGCUGCGAUCGCCGGACUCAACUUCGCCGGCUAGAUUCCGGUGAGAUGGAAUCCCACGCCACCGGCGCCGGCCGCGUCCUGGUCCUCGCCUUCUGCGUCGCCGGGAUCUGGUCCGCCUACAUCACCCAAGGCGUCCUCCAAGAAACAGUAUCCACCAAGCAAUUCGGCCCGGACGGCAAGCGAUUUGAGCACCUCUCGUUUCUCAAUCUCGCGCAGAACGUCGUCUGCUUCGUCUGGUCACUCAUUAUGAUUAAGAUUUGGUCGUCGAGCUCGGGCGGCGGCGGCGGUGCCCCGUGGUGGAGUUACUGGAGCGCGAGUAUUACGAAUACAAUUGGCCCUGCGAUGGGGAUCGAGGCGUUGAAGUAUAUCAGUUAUCCUGCUCAGGUUUUGGCCAAAUCCUCAAAGAUGAUUCCUGUUAUGCUCAUGGGAACGAUUAUCUACGGUAUCAAAUAUACGAUACCUGAAUACAUCUGCACGUUUCUUGUGGCUGGAGGUGUAUCAGCAUUUGCGCUUUCAAAGACCAGCUCAAAG
rnacentral:misc_RNA from 1 species